rnacentral:rRNA from 1 species
GACGAACGCUGGCGGCGUGCUUAACACAUGCAAGUCGAACGGAAAGGCCCUGCUUUUGUGGGGUGCUCGAGUGGCGAACGGGUGAGUAACACGUGAGUAACCUGCCCUUGACUUUGGGAUAACUUCAGGAAACUGGGGCUAAUACCGGAUAGGAGCUCCUGCUGCAUGGUGGGGGUUGGAAAGUUUCGGCGGUUGGGGAUGGACUCGCGGCUUAUCAGCUUGUUGGUGGGGUAGUGGCUUACCAUGGCUUUGACGGGUAGCCGGCCUGAGAGGGUGACCGGCCACAUGGGGGCUGAGAUACGGCCCAGACUCCUACGGAAGGCAGCAGUGGGGAAUAUUGCACAAUGGGCGGAAGCCUGAUGCAGCAACGCCGCGUGCGGGAUGACGGCCUUCGGGUUGUAAACCGCUUUCGCCUGUGACGAAGCGUGAGUGACGGUAAUGGGUAGAGAAGCACCGGCUAACUACGUG